rnacentral:lncRNA from 1 species
CCUUCAUUUUGAUUCAAUUUUAAAAAUUUAAAAGCUAACAAAAAGAUAAUUUGCAUAAAAAAUCUACUUAUUUUGGGCUUUUGCAAAACCGGGCCACCUUUUUCGUUUUUGCAGAUUCGGUCCGCUUUUUCCGCCGCCUGACCAAAAUGCCCCUCCUAUACAAUAGCCUCCCGCGCGUAUUUCUUGACAUACGUAUACUACCCUACUACCCUGCCGUACGGUCUGGCGCGCAUUAAAUGACCCGCUUAUUUCUCAGAACCCGGACCACAUCCGCCCCCGCUAUUCGCCGGCCCCGCUGUUUCCUGUUCGGCUUAAGACUUUACGAAAUUUUCGAACGCUAUUGACAAAUAGCGCGCGCCCCGCAACAGGGAUAAUAGUGCAAUGCGAAGAGCUACGAAAUGAGAAAUGGUGCAAACGACCUCUAUAACAGUGCAUCCUAGCUUCGUUCCAGUGCAACCAAACCAAAAUCAGUCAAAAUUUUACUUUCUCCAUUUCUUAAUAUAAUCUGAACUUAAAAGUGCAAAUGAACGACGUCCCCUCCAAAUGCAGGCGAGGAAGCUCUGCGGCGGGGCUGGACGGUCGGCGAUGUGCGACAUAAGAGUCGGCAGGCCAGGAAGAUCUGCGGCGGGGCUGGACGCUCAACGGCGGGGUUUGGAGUCCGAGAGGCACGACAUAACGGCUAAACGAUUGUGUAAAGUUUUCCUAUAAAAGAUCACACGUCCUUUUAACUGUUAAAUAAGUUCACAGUUAAGCGCGAAUAAUAGUGCAAAGCAUGUUAAUUACAGAACAAUAUUUUUCAAAAGAGUGCAAAGAAGCUUGUAAGAGUGCAAUACGGGGAAAUAACAGUGUAAUGGAUUUUAUCUACGAGUGCAACGAAACAUGUAAGAGUGCAAUACGGUUGUAAUACCAGUGCAAUUUUUUGGAACAGACUCAUACUAAGCUUUUAAGAGCUUUAAGUGGUGUAACUCAGAUCAAAAGAGUUCAAGAUUCUCCGCUUAAGCGUGUAACAGUACGAUAUGUAGCACAAAGUUUUCACAGAAUUGGUGUUAAUAUGAACAUAAUAGUGCAAAAAUGGUCGAAAUUUAUAUUAUACUAUGAUAUAAACAAUGCAUCCGUAGCUGGUAAAUAGUGUAACAAAUUCCUAAGCAGUACAUUAAUUUGUGAACAAGAAUUACAUUUUCUUUAAAGCCGAGUACACGAUUUUGUAGAAGUUUGGAAAAUACAAAAAGGAUUUGAAUACAAUGCAAAAUUCUAUUACAUCAAAUAUAACAAAUUGAACAUAAUAUAAAAUAUUUAACAGAAAUAUGUAAUCAUCGAAGCUUGUCUGCAAUUCCACGCGCACAUAGCCUAAAGUAACAGGUAUAGGCCAGGGGAGAUUCCGCAGGAGACUGCGAGGAGGAGAUUGCGAGGAGGAGACUGCGAGGAGGAGACUGCCGAAGGAGACUGCGACGAAGAGGAGGGUCGUUCGGAAGGGUAGAUCCAGCAACGAGGCGUUAAGAUUGAUUUGCACUAUCUGGAGUGCUUUAUUUGCCUCAAGCCCUUUGGAGCUCCGCUCUACCAUGAAACAGACAGUUCAAUCAGCAAACAUAAGAAUCCAUCAAUAACAAUAAAGAUCUGCAAGAAUUUAAGAACCUGUAUGAGAAGAGGGCCAAUGGGCUCGUGGCAAAUAAAGCACUCCAGAUAGUGCGAAUCAAUCUUAACGCCUCAUUGCUGGAUGGUACCCUUCGGAGCGAGCCGCCUACUCCACGAACUCUGCUUCGGCUCACUUCGGAGCGACCCGCCUACUCCUCGAACUCUCCUUCGGCUAUCUACUGUUGUUGCCUAAACGUCAUGGACGAACUGUAGCCGGGUACCAGUCAUUGUGGCGCCUACCCUGCCGUACGGUCUGGCGCGCAUUAAAUGACCCGCUUCCGCCUUACGCAAUCUCGCUCAUUUCUCUGAACCCGGACCACAUCCGGCCCCGCUAUUCGCCGGCCCCGCUAUUUCCUGUUCGGCUUUAAGACUUUAAUACAAUUACUCACGAUAAAUGACAAAAUCUGCAAGGGCCGCAACAAGGAUAAUAGUGCAACGCAAGGUACAACGCCAGGAGAAAUGAUGCAACCGACCACUAUAACAGUGCAUCCUAGCCUCGUUCCAGUGCAACCAAACCAUAAUCAGUCAAAAAUUUACUUUCUCCAUUUCUUAAUAUAAUCUGAACUUAAAAGUGCAAAUGAACGGCGUCCCCUCCAAAUGCAGACGAGGAAGCUCUGCGACGGGGCUGGACGGUCGGCGAUGUGCGACAUAAGAGUCGGCAGGCCAGGAAGAUCUGCGGCGGGGCUGGACGCUCGCCGGCGGGGUUCAGGGUU